rnacentral:lncRNA from 1 species
UCCAGAUGUCUGCAGAGGAAGCAAUUGUGGUGUGCAGUUUAGCCUGAUCAAUGAAGCCUAUGAUGUAUGUAGUCAUCUCCUUAUUGUUUUUUGUUUUUUCUUUUAAAUUAUUUUUAUGUGUGUUCUUUUUCUCUUCUUUGGCGGGGUUCAUGUCGGAUUUGGUAAAGGAUGACUUUUCUCCAGGCAUAGAAAAUAAAGAUAGGGAUCGAAAGUAUUCAACCUAAAUAAUGGAAGACAGGACCCAUCUAUUAAAUCCGAAGACUUAUUAGAUACCUUGAAAAUGGAAUGAAGACUUAAACAUACGAAUUCAAUCCCUACAAUUUACACAAAAAUGACAGAAUUCAACGAAAAUAAAUACUGAUAACUUGUCAAGUGAAGAUUGGAGGAAUGAUCAAACUCUUCAAUUAGAGUUUUCUUUAGAGUAUAUGCUUCCGAAUUGGGAUUUAUCCAAUUCUGUUUCAGCAGUAGGAUGAAAUUUGAAUGGUUUUGUUCAAAAGGGCUGUGGCUAAAUCAACCAUCCUGAUAGGACACGACACCCUUAUCAUGUUAAUCAUAGACACGGGCGAAUCUAGGCUGCAACCUCUUGGAGUACUCUUUUGGCUAUGUUGGUUUCGAUGGAGUGUCUUUUCAUGCCUGGAACUUGUCUCCUAGAGCCAUCACUAUCAUUUUGCUGUUGUUACACUUUUCUAUGCUUUUGAGCUUUAGCUCAAGGGACACUUUUUGUCUAACAGUAUGCUCUUUUUUUUUCCCUGUAGACUGCGAUGAGUAAUUUGAGGGAAGAACCAGAUGAAUCAUCACAAAUGUACAUGUCUUAUGAGCCGUCGGAUCAGGGAAUUGACGAGCCUAUGAGAGGAAUGAACGACACAGAUUGGGAUAUGUGGGAGGAAUGGAUGGGAUGGGAAGGGGCUGGAAUUCGUGACUACUCAUCGCAUGUUAAUCCCUACAUUUAAAGAUAAGAAAAACAGUAUAUAAUCAAUUUAAUGGUGGU